UGGUGCCCUCCCAUCUGACUUCAGCCUUCUCCCCUCCUUCUUGCUCCCUCCCCGCGAUGCGUGCAGGGUGAAACACAGGGUUUAGGGAGAUUCGGCCCCUAGGGCCUGGAGGCAAAGGCCAAGUAGCCUGUGCACGAGACGGUACCCUCUCUCAGAAACAGUCUCCUAAGCCCUCAAUUUCUGGCUGUAUCUUCUUUUUAUAAACCUGCCCCCUCCCGCGCCCACCCCCUUGUGGCCCUCCCUCACCCACAAGAACCCGCAUCGCGACCACGACCUAACGCGCCUGCGCAAGAUUUAGAGUGUGUCUUCUCUAGGAGGCCGCUAUAGCCUUUUGCGCAUGCGUUUUUCCGGGAGGCGCGCUUCAGUUGUGGGGCGGGCCUGAUUGAGGCUGGGAGUGGCCGUGCCUGGCGACCCGGAAGAAUUCGUAGAGAAGGAGGUAUUUUUCAUUGCAAGGCGUGGCUGGGACCAGGCAAAGAGGCGGGGCCGGGGAGUAGACUGAGGGGACAAGCCAAAGACGAGAGGAGGUGGAGGAGGGAAGAUUUUAGCGUAGAAAAAACCUUUGACCUAAAGCCCGAAGCUACUCAAACCGCCGAAUUCUGGAUGUCUGUUCGGUUAGAUGGAUCAGUAGUCCAAGAGAAUCUGUCCAGAGGUAGAAUGGAUUUCUUUCUACCCAGCCUAUUAUUUUACCUUUUCUUCUGCCUGUUCCAGCUCCUUGCUGUCGGCAUUUAAACGUCCUCAAGUUCUCGUCUACUUAAAAUAAUCCUUCUCCUGCACUGUUCUUCCUCUGCUAAUGUCUUUAUAAUCAAACUUCUUUAAAGAGUGGGGUCCGUUUUCUACUUCUACUUCGCAUCCGCUGGCUUUGCCUUUAUCAUUCUCUGCCUCUCUCGCCAAGAUCACCAAUUUCCAAUGUGUCAGCAAAACUAAUGCCUGGUUUUCGUUUUUCUUGACCUCUGCAUCGCUGGACACUUGCUGACUCGUCCCUCCCUCUUUUGCUUAUCUUUGUUCAGUCUCUGUUGCUUGCUCUACCUCCAUGUCUUAAAAUGUUGAUAUUCCUCGAAGCUGGGUCCUAGGAUCUUCAUCUCUUCCCAUUCUGCGUUUUCUCCCAGGAGGCAGCCCACUCAGAGUCACUUAUGCCCGCAACCCUUUGCUGCCUGGCGGACCACUGCAGCCUUGGAAAACCCGCAGCCCCUGAGGAGUCGCUGACCAGCACCGUCGCUUCCCAGUGUGUGCCCUUUCUAGCCCUCCCAUCUCUCUUCUCAUUAGACAAUCCUGUCUCUACCCUCACUCCCCACCCCAGGAAAAACACUGCUCACCACAAACCAUGACUCCAGAAGGCUGUUGUUACCACAGCUGUAUACACCCGCACCGGAAUGCCCCCUUGGACUUCAUCCUGACCUCACAGCUGAAGUACCACCUCAUCCUGUCCAUGGAGGGCGUCUGUCCAUUGUGAGCAGCCUCAGAGAAAGAAAUCCUUUAACGACUGAGGAACCUGGGGGAGAGGAGGGUUCUUACAGGUAGGGGUGGACAGACAUCGGUCUGUCGCUCUCAUUCUUCAAUUCGUUCAGCCAGUAACGUUUCCCUGAGCCCCUGGGUGCCCAGCCCUGUGCCCAGAUCUGCCCGGAUGGAUGCAGGGUAUGAGGGAUGAGGGCUGCGUUCUCAGGAAGCCCAGUCUGCUCUGUGAAGCACGAGUUAUGCAUGCGAACAGUGAGAAGUCUGUGCAGAGCAACCCCCGUGGGUUGGCGGCGGAGAAUAUAGCACAAGCUAUGUCUCUGAAGUUGAAUACACCUGCCAUGGACGGGGCUUGGGCGAUCGGGGAAGGCCUCUUGGAGGAAGAAGGGAAGGAAGACAAAUAAUCAAAGCGACUUACAUCCUUCUGGAUGAGCUCAGCGUAAACUAUGCAGGCAGCGGAGAUCAGCUCGUUGGCAUCGAGGUCAAUGAGGUUGUUGCAGACCUGUGCCGGAAGAAGGUGGGUGGAAGCAGGUCUCCCUGGGCACAGGCUGGCACAGGCAGCGACCCGCUGCUUCAAGGGGAUGAGGCCACUGCUCUUGGCAGUCACUUGGGGCCACCCAAUCUCUUCUCAACUAGCUUGGCACAGUGCCUGAAUUUUACCAUUGGAAUUUUAUAUAUUGGAGAGAUGGGGAAUGCAGUUUUCAUUCUUGGCACUAGAGGGUCCCCAGGGUUUCCCCAAGUGUUUCAUGGGAUUCUGGGAGGACUCAUUUUAUGAUGGGGGUACCAUCUAAGAUGUUUUGGAUCAAAGACUUCAGCUGCUUUUCAGAAUUGUUGGAAAACUCUAAGUCUUUUGUCACAGGAGGACCCUAGGGCCGAAGAGUUAACUGUCAGUCAGUCCAGCCUCAAGGUUAAGAACUGUUCAGGGCCUCAGCUCCCCCCGCCACCCCCCGAUGCUAAACAGGGGUACUGGCGAUGAUGAUGGUUAUCACGCCUCUGUGUCAGGCUUGUCUGGAGGUUUACAUGAGCUGGUCUAUACAAGCACUUGGCACAGUGUUUGGAGUAUGUCAGUCUCCCUGGUAUUGCCCAGGGGCAGCCAGGGCCCCUGAGUCUGUGUCAGGGGUCUCCAGGAGCCGGUGGGGCUGGACUGGGCUUUGCUGGAGGACGCUCUCACCAGGAGGAUAUCGUCGCCCGUCAUGCUCUCCUGUAGCACCUGCUGGCGCACCAUCUGCAGCAUGCUGUAGGCCACUAGCACCUGGAAGUUCCUGCAGGGUUUCCCUGUGAGCAGCACCUGCAGGGGCCAGUGAACCUCAGUCUGGCCUGUGGUCUGAGACCGCAAAUGCCCUUCGGAUGGUGUGGUACCCACCAACCACGUGACCCGUCAGCCAUGCCUGGGCCUUGCUGCCCAUGUACUCAUUCAUUGACUCUCAUUCAUUCACUCUCAUUCAUUCAUUCAACCUCUGGGGUUCUAUGCAUUGUGUUUGCUGUUGGGGGACUCAAGGAAAAAGGCUUUAGGGAUUCAUCAGCUAGAGAGGAGAGACAGAGAAAGAGAGAAGGAAGGGAAGGAGGAAGGGAGGGAGCAGGAAAGAAGAGAGACAGGGGGAGAGAAUGCCAAGAAUGACUGGUUAACUCUGUAGCUUUGAGUGGUGCUUUGGCAAAACAACAGUUGUGUCAGGGGUGUCACUAAAAGCCUGAUGGUUGAGCAUGGAGAUCAACAGGCCAGGAGUGAGGAGUGAGGUAGGGGGAGUUGAUCUGUGGGGCGCUGAAUGCCAGGCUGAGCAGUGGGCCCAAUCCUGCAGGCAGCAAUGGCCAUAGGGUAGGGCAGUGGGUGUGUUCCCUGGGGAGUGCAUCUUGCCUUGGAGACUGGGGUCAAAGAAGUGCAGGUGUGACCUGUCCUUGGGGGGCCCCUCCUUCUCCAGGAGUCAGGGCUCAGAAGGUGUGGGCACUCAGGUGGAAGGGAAGGCCAAGGAAGAGGCGGCUGGGAAAGUGAGAGCAGAGUGAGGGCCCUUGGGCAGGCAGGGUGGCAGGGAAGCUGAACACAGACCAGCCUUCUGCUGCACGAGCCUCAAGGACCCUCCUGCCUGCACUGCCCUGAGAAGGUGCAGUGGAGGGAUAAGAUGAACAGAGGGAUCAACUGAUGUUCUCACAUCUCCAACAGGGCAGGAGCAGGGUCAUUGGCCCAAUAAAUCUCACUGAACUGUA